AGACAGCAGUAGCCGCGGGAACACGUAGGGCGCAAGCGUUAUCCGGAAUUAUUGGGCGUAAAGAGCUCGUAGGCGGUUUGUUGCGUCUGCCGUGAAAGUCCGGGGCUCAACCCCGGAUCUGCGGUGGGUACGGGCAGACUAGAGUGAUGUAGGGGAGACUGGAAUUCCUGGUGUAGCGGUGAAAUGCGCAGAUAUCAGGAGGAACACCGAUGGCGAAGGCAGGUCUCUGGGCAUUAACUGACGCUGAGGAGCGAAAGCAUGGGGAGCGAGCAGGAUUAGAUACCCGAGUAGUCCCUGUCUCUUAUAC
rnacentral:rRNA from 1 species